ensembl:lncRNA
UCUCUGUCCUGAUAUCCAGAAGCUCUUUGUUUAAUCCGAGGUGAGUGAUCGCUGUCCUGAUAUCCAGAAGCUCUUUGUUUAAUCCGAGGUGAGUGAUCGCUGUCCUGAUAUCCAGAAGCUCUUUGUCUAAUCCGAGGUGAGUGAUCGCUGUCCUGAUAUCCAGAAGCUCUUUGUUUGCCGUAAGAUAUUUUUUGCAGAAACAUUACAAAAUAAGUUACAAACAACAACAAAAAACACAAUUGGUUGGAUGCCCGUAAAACUGCUGCCAUUUCUUCCGGUGCCAUCCUCGCCAGCUUCACUCGGGUACGGAGGGACUCCACAUCAAGAAACACAAGAAUAGACACAAGCUCCACUCCAAGAAUACUCCUCAGCUCCUCAAUACCCACUUUCUCUGAGACUCCAGCAAUUACUCCCUUGACAGGUGCUCUUCUCUUCAGCUUAAAGCAUGAUACAGCAUGGUCAUCAAUUCGCCUGAUACCCAACAGACUCCUCCUCUGUUCAGCGGAAACACAAAGAAAUCAAGAUCAACUCACUCCUCGUGACCCUCAUCGACUCCACUUUACCCACAUCUCUCUCCACUAUUUUGGAUACUUCCAACAGAUAUGGCAAUCCAAUUGUCCCAGAAACUGGACUCCAGCCAGACACCAGGUAUUCUCCACACUAGGUAGGAGUCUUCCUUCCCAUCCCAACUUUGCUUAUUUCCCCAUUAUUUUGGACAGAGGUCCAUUCUUCCUUACUUCCACCGCCAUCCGAUUCAUAUUCCACAUCCUUCCUUCCUCCGAGUUCUGGUGACCUCGACUCCUAACCCGUCCGGUCUCCAUAAACCUCUGCCCGGAGUCUUUGACACUCAACCAAAUGAGAACUGCUCGUCGUGGGAACCUCCCUAUGACAUCAUCUUUUGGGAGCUGUAAAUGAGGAGACCAAAACUGGUUGCAAGUGUGGGUGAAUUUAGCGCCCUAUUGAUGGUUUAACAAGACAUCACAUGGCGAUAAUAAGAAUCCUGCCUUAUAACAGGCUGACUACACUGUUCGCAUCGCGUGCGUUGCAAAAUACAAUUAGAAAUCUAUAUUAUUCAAUUAUUGCACCCACACUGCUCGCGUCUGUGUUACCAAGGGCUAAAAUAGAAGUCAGUUCUAUUUCUGAUGCAGAUCGCGCUGCAAGUCCUGCCUCUCCCAUCUCCUCAUUGGUUUAUAGAAGCAGGUACCCACGUGCCAUCUCCUCAUUGGUUAUACGCACGUGGGUGACUGAAAGAUGAACGAGGUCGGUGGCGGUAAUGCACCUAAUUUAUGAAAGUUGCCAAUUGCAAUAUAAAGUCCAGAGAAGAAAAGGCCUGGAAUUUUAUGUGUGUUUUAUGUGUGGAUUAAUUGUCGGAGUAGAGGACCUUGUACAUUUCAGGUAAAAUAACAACUCAAUGUUUAUAUUCCAGGACAAAUUAGCUAGCAACAGCAAGCUAGCUAAAUAGGACAAAUUAGUUAGCAAGUGCAAGCUAGCUAGCUAAAUUGCCACAAAGGUUUAAUGCUUUUCGUCCUGUCCCCAAAUUAAUGUAAUUGGUUCAGAGUUUGUUUUGAUAUUUUGACCUGCGUGUCGUGAUCGCGUUUGGUGUAGGGGCAGAAAAUACAAGAAGACACUUCUGAGAGCAGUCUUGUUUCCCACUAAUGCGAUACAGCUUCUACAUCGGGAUGUUUCUUUCCCACGUGUCCUUCACCGGGGAGGCCGUUACACCUUAACGGUGUUUUAAUCUGAUUUAUUGGCAGACAGAAGUCCCCGCUUGGGAUAACAUUUUCCAGACGAAUAACUUCCCGAAAUGUAAAUAGAAAGUUUAUUUUAUUUACAAAAUGAUGUUAAAAUGUGGGAUGUGAUAGCUAUUCGCUAGAUGGCCGAUCUCAUACCUGCUUAUCAGCAGUUUAGAGAUGAACAACUAAACUAUCUAAUCGUAGAUUCAGCGAUGUGUCAAUUGUGAAAACCCGGACAGUUUUUAAAUGAUGAAUUGGUAACUUGCUACCCAGCUAAAAGACAUGUAGCAAAUCGUUUCCCCCAUUUGUUUUCAGGGACUAAAGUGGGCACCUGAUUGCAUUUCACUUCAUUGCAUUGGUUUGGAAGGAGAAAACAGUCCUGCCCGACUCAUUUGGAGGUAAGACAUUUUAACAUCUGAUGGAGAAAAAAACUAAUGCAGUAUCUGUUCACCUAGCUAAAUGUCUCUUCCCCUAUUGUGUUGGACCAUUGCGGUUCGUGCUACUAGUUAAAAAAUUAUAGGCUAAGUUAUUCUACUCUUACUGUAAACAACUUGACCAAGUCUAAAAUAUGCAAAACUGUUAACAUGAUGAUUGCACAGUAAUAAAUGCAGUUGUGGCUUCAGCAACUUGAACCAGCACUAAAAUGUGAGGUUAAUUUCUCCCCUCGUCUCUGCUUGUUCCAGGUUGAAGGAUAUCCCACCCUGUCACUCUGUAGAUGUAAACACCUUGUUGUGAACCACCCGGCCACAAGGUUAAUCACCAUAUCCCAGGGUAUUAUUCAGGAGCGUGUGACAUCACAAUGUUAGAGAGAAAUAGAUGCACCCAUGUUGUUGUUUAUCAUGCAGAUUUGUCAGGACCUAGUAACUUAUGAAGCUCAUUCUAAUAUACAGAUGUGAUUUCUGUCCCAGAGGAUUUGAACUGUGUUCAAGUCUUCAAUUUAGACCACAAUUAGUUGAAUUAGGUGUUAGUGAAGAGCUGGUACAAAAACCUGUGAAACUCCUGUCCCAUCAAAACAAAAUGGCUGUCAUAACUACAUUUGCACUCAUGUACUGAACAAGUUUAUGAGUGUUGGGAGUUCAUUUCCUUGAGAUGUCCCUCAGUUGGGAAAUAUUUUCUACAAUGGACUGUGUUUAAAGGACUCAUGCACACAGGAAAACCAAUAAACAUUUGCAUUUUUUUUAAAUUGAAAAUGCCUAGUGUUGAUGUCUCCACGUGUUUCUGGUUCUGAGGCAGUUAAACCCACUGUUCCUAGGCUGUCAAUGAAAGGCGGGGUCAUCUGGGGUCUGCAGGUCAUCCAAUCAAUGAGAGAGAAGGGCAUCAAUGAUAUUACAAUGUGGCAGGGUAGCCUAGUGGUUAGAGCGUUGGACUAGUAACCGGAAGGUUGCAAGUUCAAAUCCCCGAGCUGACAAGGUACAAAUCUGUUGUUCUGCUCCUGAACAGGCAGUUAACCCACUGUUCCUAGGCUGUCAUUGAAAAUAAGAAUUUGUUCUUAACUGACUUGCCUAGUUAAAUAAAUAAAAUCGAGGAUUAUAUCAUUUAAUAUAUGUUCCUGUUUUGAUAUGCAUUUAUAAUUAUAUUGGACAUGUUAUCCGUUAUCACAUGCCAGUAUGUGUUUCGUAUCCCAGUGCAUGUAGCUCACAUUAGGAUGAAGUAGCCUAGGCCUUCUGAUGCCUAGGCCUUCUGAUGCCUAGGCCUUCUGAUGCCUAGGCCUUCUGAUGCCUAGGCCUUCUGAUG